AUUGAACGCUGGCGGCAGGCCUAACACAUGCAAGUCGAGCGGAUGACGGGAGCUUGCUCCUUGAUUCAGCGGCGGACGGGUGAGUAAUGCCUAGGAAUCUGCCUGGUAGUGGGGGACAACGUUUCGAAAGGAACGCUAAUACCGCAUACGUCCUACGGGAGAAAGCAGGGGACCUUCGGGCCUUGCGCUAUCAGAUGAGCCUAUGUCGGAUUAGCUAGUUGGUGGGGUAAUGGCUCACCAAGGCGACGAUCCGUAACUGGUCUGAGAGGAUGAUCGGUCACACUGGAACUGAGACACGGUCCAGACUCCUACGGGAGGCAGCAGUGGGGAAUAUUGGACAAUGGGCGAAAGCCUGAUCCAGCCAUGCCGCGUGUGUGAAGAAGGUCUUCGGAUUGUAAAGCACUUUAAGUAGGGAGGAAGGGCAGUAAGCUAAUACCUUGCUGUUUUGACGUUACCGACAGAAUAAGCACCGGCUAACUCUGUGCCAGCCGCCGCCGUAA
rnacentral:rRNA from 1 species